rnacentral:tRNA from 1 species
CAGAGAGUAGUUUAAAGAAAAAAUAUUAAUUUUGGGGAUUAAAGAUGAAGGUAUUUUUCUCUGA